GGUCACCGCCUCUCUUUCGGUCUGGGAUGACUCCAGCGCACUGGAACAAUAAAUUUCUCUUGUUUUUUGCAUAGAUUCCAGCUCUGCUUGGUUCACUCAGGGGGUCCCCCAUAAACUAAGGCUUGCCAGAGUCUGACAUUUGGUGCAUUGGCCAGGAAUCCAAUUCCUUGUGGGAACACACUGGAUACUGAACAGAGGACCUCACACAAGCCUAUCAUGCACUCUACCAUUAAGUAGACACCCAAGUGUUGCUGAUUUGUGCAUGAGUGACCUUCAUGUUCAAUUUUAAGUAAGAGCCUUCUCUCACCUGUGGGACGUUCUACCCAGUCUCACACUGACAUCUCAGGCUGAAACUCUCCCAAAGCCCCAUCCUUCCGGUAAGAUGGACACAUUCCAGCCAAUGAUGCAGCCUUCCUACCCGGUUUCUGUUAGAAAUGACUCCCGCUUCUGCCCCUUUCAUCUCUUUGGGGGCAGGAGCCACACCACUCCACACUCACAGAUCAUCUGCGACACUCAGAAGAUGAGAAACUCGCUGCUAUAUUUCAGCUUGCUUCAUUAAAAACAACUCUAGGCACUA
rnacentral:lncRNA from 1 species